UACGGAGGGGGCAAGCGUUGUUCGGAAUUACUGGGCGUAAAGGGCGCGUAGGCGGGACGUCAAGUCAGGGGUGAAAGGCCUGGGCUCAACCUAGGAACUGCCUUUGAAACUGACGACCUUGAGUACGGGAGAGGAUGGCGGAAUUCCCAGUGUAGAGGUGAAAUUCGUAGAUAUUGGGAAGAACACCGGUUGCGAAGGCGGCCAUCUGGCCCGUUACUGACGCUGAGGCGCGAAAGCGUGGGGAGCAAACAGG
rnacentral:rRNA from 1 species